UUUUUUUAUUUUUUUUUUUUUUUUUUUUUACUUUUCUAUCACAAAGACUUUAUUCCAAAAGUCAAUACGCGCAUCACUCGAAAAAAUUGAGCGUAUCGCAAGAACAUUAUAUUAAUUUUAAACGAAUCACGUAAUCCAAGAUUUCUAUUUAUUUUCAACUAUAUUUGUUCGGUCUGUCAAUAUGCGCCACGUAUUUCCGCCCGUUCAAUGUCGUCGGUUUGUCAUUAUACUGUGUAUAUAUAUAUAUAUAUAUAUUAUGAUAUAUUUAUAUGUAUUACGAUAUAUAUCGUAUUAUUAUGUUUUUUCACGUAGGUAGACGGGGAUUUUUAUUUAUUUAUUUUUUUUUUUUUUAUUACAAACGCCAAACCCAUACAAGGUCGGUGUAUUGUAGUAUCCGUACACACACGACAGUCUCAAUAUGCGAAACGACUUCUCCCGAUUUGCGCGACAGUUUGACGCGCGUUAUUAUUUCACUACUCGCGUAAACUUUCCGCGGUAUAAUUUAGUCGAACAGGUGUCCAAAUUUGUUUACAUCUAUACGCGGAAUAUAUGCAGGCACACGAAUCUCGUACGCGUAUAAGUCAACACCGUCGAGUAUUAUAACAAUUUUAAAUCUCGGGAAACUUUUCGAAAUAAAUAAAUAAAUAAAAAAAAAAAAACCCCCCGCGGGGUACGGCGAAAAUCGUACAACUUUAAUCGCGUAAGCAUUAAACUUAUAUUGUAUUCGAAACCCGGAAUCGUAUUAUUAAAUUUCCCGGC